rnacentral:rRNA from 1 species
UACAGAGGGUGCAAGCGUUGUUCGGAAUUAUUGGGCGUAAAGGGCGCGUAGGCGGUUCGGCAAGUCUCUAGUGAAAUCUCUGGGCUCAACUCAGAGUCUGCUGGGGAAACUGCCGGGCUUGAGUGUGGGAGAGGAGAGUGGAAUUCCCGGUGUAGCGGUGAAAUGCGUAGAUAUCGGGAAGAACACCCGUGGCGAAGGCGGCACUCUGGGACGGUACUGACGCUGAGACGCGAAAGCGUGGGGAGCGAACAGG